AUACAGGUGUGGCAGGGACAGGUGAGGAUGAGGGAGAGCCUAAAAUUGUGAUGGUGCUGGCAGCCACUAACUUUCCCUGGGAUCUUGAUGAGGCAUUGAGGAGAAGACUGGAAAAGAGAAUAUACAUACCCCUACCCACAGCUGAAGGUCGUGAGGAGCUGUUGAAGAUCAAUUUGCGAGAAG